CCUACGGGUGGCAGCAGUGGGGGAUAUUGCACAAUGGGGGAAACCCUGAUGCAGCGACGCCGCGUGGGUGAAGAAGCGCCUCGGCGCGUAAAGCCCUGUCAGCAGGGAAGAAAAUGACGGUACCUGAAGAAGAAGCCCCGGCUAACUACGCGCCAGCAGCCGCGGUAAUACGUAGGGGGCAAGCGUUAUCCGGAUUUACUGGGUGUAAAGGGGGCGCAGACGGCGCUGCAAGCCAGGAGUGAAAGCCCGGGGCCCAACCCCGGGACUGCUCUUGGAACUGGGUGGCUAGAGUGCAGGAGAGGCAGGCGGAAUUCCUGGUGUAGCGGUGAAAUGCGUAGAUAUCAGGAGGAACACCGGUGGCGAAGGCGGCCUGCUGGACUGCAACUGACGUUGAGGCCCGAAAGCGUGGGGAGCAAACAGGAUUAGAUACCCUAGUAGUC
rnacentral:rRNA from 1 species